UGUACCUACAAGACAGAGGGCAAAGAAGAAACGGUGCUGGAGUCAGGUGGGUCUGGUGGGUGGCGGGGCUGGAGGGCUGUGCCAGGUCGCCCGGUCACACCCACCCCUCAUCUUGCCAGUCUGCUCUGCUGGUGGCUGCUGGCCCUGUAGGCCAGGGUUGGCACUGUAUGCUCCAGGUUUCCCCAGCAUCUGGCACAGAAACCCUGAGCGGUGUGGUGUCUCUCAGUGGCUGAGCCUGGCUGAGGGACAGAGCUGGCUGGAGGAGCCAGCAGGGACACACUGUGGCACAGUAGGGGCACACUGUGGCAGUACCUGAGCUAUAUGUGAUCUUCUGGGAUUCUACAUCCACAGUCCUCAGGCCGCUGAGCCGCGCCCCGUGGAGGAUUCCUGGUGCCUUAGAGCAGAAGACAGACACCCGAGGCCAGAGACUCUCCUCUUUGUCCUGCACAUCGAUGGUACUGACUGCUUCAAUGACAUCUGAAGUGGAGAGGAGGAGGUCAAAGCACAGGAACUGUUUUUGCAAACAGUGCGUCACUGCAGCCAUCUUGCAAUCACGCGGUCCUGACAAGUCUGAUGGAGGAGAGGAAAAGGAAGGAAAGGACACCCUACUGAUGUCAGUCACAUCUAAGGUGAAAUGUGACAAAGCACCAAGUUCAUGAACCAGUCCUGCUUCUCAUAAAAUAUGCUCCGGGACCUCAUAGCCUCACAGCCUGCCAGACCUGGCAGCUCCCAGCUACGCUGCAGAUGUCACAGAUGAAAACGGGAAGCAAGGAAGGGCUGCCUCUCAGACAAAAUGCAGCAAAGAUGCAUUUUCAACUAGAGUAAAAGUUUAGUUUUCAUCUUUAAA